ACGCACGCUGGCGGCGUGCUUAACACUUGCCAGUCGAACGGAAAGGCCCUGCUUUUGUGGGGUGCUCGAGUGGCGAACGGGUGAGUAACACGUGAGUAACCUGCCCUUGACUUUGGGAUAACUUCAGGAAACUGGGGCUAAUACCGGAUAGGAGCUCCUGCUGCAUGGUGGGGGUUGGAAAGUUUCGGCGGUUGGGGAUGGACUCGCGGCUUAUCAGCUUGUUGGUGGGGUAGUGGCUUACCAAGGCUUUGACGGGUAGCCGGCCUGAGAGGGUGACCGGCCACAUUGGGACUGAGAUGCGGCCCAGACUCCUACGGGAGGCAGCAGUGGGGAAUAUUGCACAAUGGGCGGAAGCCUGAUGCAGCAACGCCGAGUGCGGGAUGACGGCCUUCGGGUUGUAAACCGCUUUCGCCUGUGACGAAGCGUGAGUGACGGUAAUGGGUAAAGAAGCACCGGCUAACUACGUG
rnacentral:rRNA from 1 species